CUUGUUCGAUGCCGCAAGGACCCCUCUGUAAAGAAGGGGAUCUGCACUGAAAUACAGCUGAAAAGAAGGGAGCAACUGCUGUCUGUCAAGGGACCCCUAUUGACUCCACAAGGCCUUUGGGAAGUAUGUACUUACUGCAUUGUUAGCUCAGGUGAGGGGCAUUUGGGACUGGACACCUGAGUUAGCCUGUCUUCAGUCUGAGCCACCACAUCACAAAGCCAGACCUGAGUUACUGCAUCCUCAGUGGUGCUGCACUCUUGCACGUAUGUUGGUAGGACUUCUGGGAACACUUCCCAUGUUGCUUUGUGCUACAGGAAGGUUUAGGAAUUUACUCUUCACCGUGGUUUAUGAGCUUUGUUAACUUGCCAAGCACACUGAAAAGCCUCUGUCUUCUCCAAGUAUUGAAAAGGGAGUGAACCGAGGCACCCAGAGCACUAGACAGACACCUAAUGCAUUUUAGAGGUCUAAAAACAAACAAAAAAAGAAUCUUUUUUCUUAUCUUUUAUGCAAAAAAAUAAGGGAAUGGAAAAACAUUUCUUGUUACACCAGCCAGUUUAGUCAGGUCUACAGCAAUAACCAGUAUGUUACUUUAUUAGUAGUAUCCCAAAGCAAACACACAUUUGAGUGUUUUCCUUUCAGAUCUUUGUACACCUCUGCACAGCUGUGAUUCCCAGAAGUUUUCAAACAGUGGUGUGUAUUUGCUAAGCUGUCCAACUCUGCAAAUGUAUUAUCUAACUCUGUCAAGCGAUUUCCAACAUAGUUUGUAUGAAGGAGACUAAUAAAAAUAUAAUUGCUGGGGCUGGUCUAGAUUCUGGACAAGUGGAUGAAACUCUUCUGAAAUCUGAAGUCAUCAAGUCUAAAUGUUGUCCGUAUCAUUUGCUAUGUAUUGUUUACUUAUUAUAUUUACAACUGUACAUUAUUUUUUUAUUACAUUUCCUUCUGGGAGAUGCCCUUGAAGUAAAUCUAUUUUCAUCACGGAUGAAUUCUGCCCAACAUAAUACAUCUGUUGCUGUUCCAAGCAACUGCUCCAUUGAGAUUCUCCUUUA